AACAUAUGCUCAGCCACUUUGAGUUGUGUUCUUGGUCUGCUUAGAAUUGACCAGUACAACACGGCCUGGCCUCAGGGACCCCAGUUCUUGUGGGACCUGCCGGCUGUAGAUGAAUGGAACUCCUCAGCACCACGUCUCUCAGCCUCUUCUCUUUGUGACUGCUGCUCUCAUCCCCUGAUACCUGGAUUCAUCCAACAGCCUCUUCCUUCAGAGGCUACCACGAUCCACUGCACACACAGCUGUGGGAAUGAAGCUACCCCAUGGUGGUAGCCUGGGUCACACAAGACCACGUGUAUCCACUUAAGCAUG
rnacentral:lncRNA from 1 species